GGGGAAUUUUCCGCAAUGGGCGAAAGCCUGACGGAGCAAUACCGCGUGGGGGAUGAAAGCCUGUGGGUUGUAAACCUCUUUUCUCAAGGAAGAAGUUCUGACGGUACUUGAGGAAUAAGCAUCGGCUAACUCUGUGCCAGCAGCCGCGGUAAUACAGAGGAUGCAAGCGUUAUCCGGAAUCACUGGGCAUAAAGCGUCUGUAGGUUGCUUGUCAAGUCUGCUGUUAAAGAUCAGGGCCUAACCCUGGAAAAGCAGUGGAAACUAACAGGCUUGAGUGUGGUAGAGGUAGAGGGAAUUCCUGGUGUAGCGGUGAAAUGCGUAGACAUUAGGAAGAACACCAAUGGCGAAAGCACUCUACUGGGCCAUAACUGACACUGAGAGACGACAGCUAGGGGAGCAAAUGGGAUUAGAUACCCCUGUAGUC
rnacentral:rRNA from 1 species